UACGAAGGGGGCUAGCGUUGUUCGGAAUUACUGGGCGUAAAGCGCACGUAGGCGGAUAUUUAAGUGAGGGGUGAAAUCCCAGGGCUCGAACCCUGGAACUGCCUCUCAUACUGGGUAUCUCGAGUUCGAGAGAGGUGAGUGGAAUUGCGAGUGUAGAGGUGAAAUUCGUAGAUAUUCGCAGGAACACCAGUGGCGAAGGCGGCUCACUGGCUCGAUACUGACGCUGAGGUGCGAAAGCGU
rnacentral:rRNA from 1 species